AUACAUGAUUUUUUCGUGACUUAGAAUUCAGCUCAAGCUGUGAAAGUAGAUUUUGAUCUUGUUGGUAGUCAGUAAGAAUCACUAAAAUGUAAUUCUCUCGAUCAAGUCAAUCAACGAUUGAUUGAAUAAAUCAAUCAACCGCUUAAUUUUGUUGGAUCUGACAUCCGUAUUUCGAUCGUUCUUAGAGCAAGGAAGCCUUCGUGAAUGUCUGUUGUAGGUUAAUUCAGUUUUUUUUUGACUCUCAUCUUUAUGAUAUAAGUAAACGAGUACUUAUUAAUACUAAUAAUAAUAACUACAUAGUACUUAAUAAUAAACUCUCAUCUUUAUUAUUAAGUACUAUGUUCGGCUUCAAAACCUAAACUCUAAAAGAAAACUAUGAGCAGAGAAUAUACGUCUUGGAAAUGGAGGAGGUUUAUUAGCGACUAGUACGAAUACAAUGGGCGACUCUCUAAAAAAUCGCCUCCAUUAUCAAAGAUCUGAAAACGGACGCACGUCUGGCCACAAAAUCACAAAUUUUGGACAAACUGCCAAGGGCAACCCCUCAUUGGAAAGACUGGGGUCAGAGCGAAAAUCAGAAGUAGACCACAAUCUAACGCAAGUAUCAAAUAGAGCAUGAGUCGAGCAGCCUGUAUAGUUAUCCAGUUAGAGGCUGUUCAAAAUAGUGGUGUUAAGGAGUGCCAAAAUCAGUUGGCUGGACAGACAUGGAACUGCUCCUCUUUAAGUACUAGAGGAAGGAACCCAUAUAUCACCACAAUAAUGCAUCUAGUUGGCAGAUAAUGGAUAAUCUAGCGCACUUGCCUUAUUGGCACCAAAUCAUCCUGUAUAUGUCGCCAAUCAGCAAAGGACUGGAAACACAUUUUCUUCAUUCCCGUACCAAACCAAAAUUCAAGCGAUAUUGAGGCUUUUACCACUUUCCGAAGGCAGCAAACUACAGAAAUAACGUGAUAAUAUAAUUGUUUGAUUGAUCGUACAUUUGUAAGAAUCAGUUUGCAGUUGGAUUUCCGGUUUUUUAUUGUUGACUGUUGAAAGUGCCUGUUCGCACGUAAAUAUUUUCAAAGGCAAGUUUCUGGUUCAAACUAGUUUUGGUCGCCGUGAACAAAACAGAUUUUUCAGCCAAAUAUGAGCACUUCCAAUCAUGGAGCGGAAUAGUCUCUUUCCUAAUACAUUAAAUGCUCUCGGACUUUUGUUCGAUUUUGAUGAAACUUUGUCUUUUUAUAAAACAGCUGGAUUUGUCGUGGAAUAGUGACCUAAAGAGAAGAUCCACAUUCAAUCUGCAUUCUUCAUAAGAGCGCUGGAAUCAAUCGCUUUAUUUUUGCAAAGUUCUGAGAUCAGCUUUUUCCAGAAUUUUUUUAGAGUUUCAAUGGCAGAAAAUCAGCAAUACUCUGAAAAAUCGGUUUUUGGCCAUUUUCACGAUUCAUUUGAGGUGAUAUGAUAAAGUGUUGUAUACAAAAUUUUUUGACUUUUUUAUUAUCUACAACUGCAAAAAUAUGUUUUCAACCCAUAAGCUACAUUCCCAUUUCACAAUUACCAGUGUUCGCCUGUUUAAAUUUUGUCAUUUCAUACAGUUGGAACUUCAUCAACAUUUUCCACCUGGGUCUUGUUAUUAAUUGUAAAUCUCUGAAAUAUUUUUUCUUCUCUGGUGUCGCUUGGUGCCGUUGCUGCAUGCAAGAAUAUUUAAAAAAUUAAUAUUCGAUUACCAUCCGAUCGGUCACAGAAGGCUCCGAAGUUACUCCGGUCUAAAAAUCAAUCAUCCGAUGAACCGAUAUAGGAAAUUGUAAAAAUUCUCACAUCUGUAAUAGUUGUUAAAUUUCUUGACAUCAAAACCCAGAAUUAUUAUUUGUGAUGUCUUCGCUUUUCGCUCUCAUCACUUCCCUUAUAAGAAACUCUCAAUAAACCAUUUACAGAAGACAUGCACUAUUCAACAUGCGGAAAUUCACAUAUUUAUAAAACUCAACAGAAAGUAUCGAAAUUUUUAAAGAAUUAAAGUUGGAAAUGCAUUCCGGCAAUCAAAUUCGCCGUUCUUCGGCUGCGAGAGCUGCGAAUCUGGCAGCAACUUCCCAGUUGUUGUUGGUCGUCAAUCCUUUGAAUGGCAUAAAUUGCGGAUUGGUUGAGCGAAUAUUCUUAUAUCAUGAUACAUCUUAAACAGCGAAAAAAUCAUCAUUCACAUCAACACAUCGAUUUCCUUAUUGAAGUUAAAAUAUAGUUUUUAUUUUUCAUUAGAUUCUCGUAAUUCAGGCAAUCUAUUUGCAUUGCUAAGUUUAAGCAAAUUGUUAACCCUUGCGGGUAAAGUAAUAUUUUAUGAACUAUUUUUAAUUGAUGUAAAACAACUUGCGAUAGAAAAUAAUAAACGCCAUUGUUCAGUUUUAAGCUGCACGAUUUCAAAGCGAUUUGACCACUUGGUUUUAAAACUCAAGAAUGCACUUUGCUUUUUCUUUUAACUAAGCAGGAAAAAUCAAGUGGAGUUCAUAAAAUUCACGGUUCAAAUUAAAUGUUGCAGGCCUCUUCAGAAAAUGUAUACAAAAUAGUCUUAAUCUGGGCUUAAUGAUCCCUAAAUCUGUCAUACUAUCUACCGUGGCGCAUAAUGAGCAAUUCGCAGUCAAUCACCACGUACUCGGUGCCGUGCUGCGCGUUUUUUUACCCAAAGAGUGGUUGCUUUUCCUGCAUCUAAAUUGCGUAUAUCAAUCCGCCGCUGUUAAUCGGAACGAUAUCGUUUCUGAGUUGUCGUUGGCAGCGACCACCAGCACAGAUUGUGAAAUCACGCCCAUGAUUGGAAACACUCGACAUGCUCGUGAAUGUUGCUUUUUCAAUGGUCACUAAUACGAUUAACAGUCAACGUUUCAUUAGCCUUAAUCUUAAUAAAAUAUAUUAAUAAAUUUAAUAAAUUGGACUUAAGAGGCAUUUGCGAACCACAGUCUUAUAGCGGUGAGUUUGCUAACAUUGCAAUUAGGAUCCUUUCCGGAUCCAUACUAAAACAGAGGCGAUUUCUAAUUCUGCAAUGUCUCGGUUGUACAUGUUUUUUUUAUAUUAUGGUUUAUUGAAUCUUACCGUCCAACUCCUUGUAGGAAUAAGGUUUUCCCUAAAAAAGCACAAGAUUCAUAAGCAACAUUUAUCUAGGACUUUGAUACAAACAAACUCGUUAAACUAAAUUUAUUAUUUGUAAAUCGAAAACAACGCAAAAACCUAGAAAUACCUAUUCGUUUCUUCAUGAGAUUAAGUUCCAAUCAAGGCCAAAAUAAAAAUAGUUGCAGCAAUGAAUUUUUGGUUUGUUAUAUUUAA